rnacentral:rRNA from 1 species
AAUAGAUACCCUGGUAGUCCACGCCCUAAACGAUGCUCACUAGGUGUUGGGGAAGCGAUUCCUUGGUACCGUAGCUAACGCGUGAAGUGAGCCGCCUGGGGGGUACGGCCGCAAGGUUAAAACUCAAAGGAAUUGACGGGGACCCGCACAAGCGGUGGAUGAUGUGGAUUAAUUCGAUGCAACGCGAACGACCUUACCUACCCUUGACAUGUCCGGAAGCCUGCUGAGAGGCGGGGGUGCUCGAAAGAGAACCGGAACACAGGUGCUGCAUGGCUGUCGUCAGCUCGUGUCGUGAGAUGUUGGGUUAAGUCCCGCAACGAGCGCAACCCUUGUCCCUAGUUGCUACGCAAGGGCACUCUAGGGAGACUGCCGGUGACAAACCGGAGGAAGGUGGGGAUGACGUCAAGUCCUCAUGGCCCUUAUGGGUAGGGCUUCACACGUCAUACAAUGGACGGUACAGAGGGUUGCCAACCCGCGAGGGGGAGCCAAUCCCAGAAAGCCGUUCGUAGUCCGGAUCGCAGUCUGCAACUCGACUGCGUGAAGUCGG